GCAAACUUGGUCAUUUAGAGGAAGUAAAAGUCGUAACAAGGUUUCCGUAGGUGAACCUGCGGAAGGAUCAUUACUGAGAAAUUGCCCUCUGGGUAAAUCUCCCACCCUUUGUUUACAUUACUUAUGUUGCUUUGGCAGGGCCGUCUUAUGACCGCCGGCUUUGGCUGGUCCGUACCUGCCAGAGGACCCUAAACUCGUGAUUUUUGUGUUGUCUGAGCAAUAUUUUUACAAUAAAAGUCAAAAACUUUCAACAACGGAUCUCUUGGUUCUGGCAUCGAUGAAGAACGCAGC
rnacentral:misc_RNA from 1 species